GCAAUCCAUGCUUCCCAGUCUUUGGUGACAAUGUUGUCAGGCCAAAAAAUAGAAGUUUUCGAUUUCCUCUCUCUGGUUUUUAGUUGGUUAGAUGUUAAUGUGUGGAAAUGUAUAUGCUGAUUUUUUUCCCUGUUUUAAUAAAUUGCUAAUACGUGGAUCUUGUCUGCUUUGCAUGGACUACAGUAUAUAUUCACAGACUUUGUCUGCUUGCUUCAAAACUAAAAUGUGACUUUUACUUGCCUAUUACCAAAGAAGAUUUCAUGCACGCCACAUCAAGUCACCAUAGAUGCCUCCAAGUGAAAUUUCAGCGACGACAAGAUUUGGCAUCAUAUUGCCCAGUAACUAAAUAUGCACACAGAAGGACCACUCUGGAUGAUGGAAAAUGCAUUAUCCCGUGUACUUUUCCACUCACUUCACACAAGAAUAUCUCAAGGGGCACAUGCAUGAAGAGCAUACUAAUUUGCUGAUCAAACCUGGAAACAGACCUGCCAUCGUCAUUGCUCGGCUUAUCAUACAAUCACAAGAAGCUGGACUCAUGCAUUUGCCUUUGAGGAAUUGGCGGGAGAACUCAUAUCAUCGUGCACUCCCUUUGAUAGCGUCAUGAGCAACCACUUCCAUUAUCUCAUAAUAUAGCUCAGCUUUGGCGGCUGCUUAGCCGCCCCAGGGAGAGAGACGCCAUCACCUUCAUCAUCACCCAGCUUCGUGCAAUGGCUCUUGGGAUGGCUCCGCCACUUCCCCCACCACCACCAUAGCCGGAUUAGAUCUUCCC